AACGAACGCUGGCGGCAUGCCUAACACAUGCAAGUCGAACGAGACCUUCGGGUCUAGUGGCGCACGGGUGCGUAACGCGUGGGAACCUGCCCUUAGGUUCGGAAUAACUCCCUGAAAGGGGUGCUAAUACCGGAUAAUGUCUUCGGACCAAAGAUUUAUCGCCUUUGGAUGGGCCCGCGUUGGAUUAGCUAGUUGGUAGGGUAAAAGCCUACCAAGGCGACGAUCCAUAGCUGGUCUGAGAGGAUGAUCAGCCACACUGGGACUGAGACACGGCCCAGACUCCUACGGGAGGCAGCAGUGGGGAAUAUUGGACAAUGGGCGAAAGCCUGAUCCAGCAAUGCCGCGUGAGUGAUGAAGGCCUUAGGGUUGUAAAGCUCUUUUACCCGGGAUGAUAAUGACAGUACCGGGAGAACAAGCUCCGGCUAACUCCGUG
rnacentral:rRNA from 1 species